rnacentral:tRNA from 1 species
GGCGGCGUAGCUCAGUUGGCAGAGCACUCGGCUCAUAAUCGAGUUGUCGGCGGUUCGAGUCCGCCCGCCGCUACCA